rnacentral:rRNA from 1 species
GUUAAUUAAUUGUUGGUUUUAGAAGGUAUAAAUAUAAUAAGUAAGAAAAAUAAUUUUUAUAAUUUAAAUAUAAGUAUUUAUUUUGGAAUUUAGUGUUGAGGCUAUAGAUUAGAAGUAUUGUAAAAGAAAUUUUAAAUAUAAGUGAAAAAGAAAAGGAAGAAAAGUAAUUUUUGGUUUUUGUACCUUGGGUAUCAGGGAAAAUUAAAAUAGACUAAUUAAAUAGAUUUCCCGAAAGAAGAAUAGUUAAUUUCUAUUUAUAGUUUUUGUUUCAAAAAAAUUAAAAAAUGGAUUUUAAAGGUGAAAUGUUAGUCGGGUCUUUAAUAUCUGGUUUUUUGUGAAUGAAUUUAAUUCUUGUUUUAUUUAAAAAGUAAAUAAAAUGAAGGGGUAGGAGGGAUUGAGCUUCUUACUUUAAAUUAUUAUAUAAUAUAAGAGUGUAUAAUGUUAAUUUUUAGAAUUAGGCUUAAAAGUAGCUAUAUAAUUAAAGUGUUUUAACUAAUUUUUUGAUUAGAAUUUAUAUAAUUUUUAUCUUUUUAGCAGAAUAUUUUAGUAAAUAUUAUUAUAAAAGAGAAAAUGAUUUUAUUAGUAGAUAUUUUUGUAAAAUUUAAAAUUAAAAUAAUUGUAAUAGUAUAAUAGGAGGAAUGAUUGUAAAAAGGAAUUCGGCAAAAAAAUUGCUUGCCUGUUUAUCAAAAACAUGUCUGUUUGUGAGGUGUAGAGAGUCUAAUCUGCCCACUGAGGAUUUAAAGGGCCGCGGUAUCCUAACCGUGCAAAGGUAGCAUAAUCAUUAGUCUUUUAAUUGAAGGCUUGUAUGAAUGAUUGGACAAAGUAAUUACUGUCUUUAUUGAAGAAAUUGAAGUUAACUUUAAAGUGAAAAGGCUUUAAUAGUUUAGGGGGACGAUAAGACCCUAUAAAGCUUUACAUAAUUUUUGUUUUUAUAGAUUUAUAAGUUUAAUUGUGAAAAAAAUAAAUUGUGUUUUGUUGGGGUGACAAGGGUAUAAUUUUUGGUAACUGCUUUAUUUUUAAAUACAUUAAUAUAUGGUUAUUUUGAUCCUUAAUAAAGAUUAAUAGAAUAAGUUACUUUAGGGAUAACAGCGUUAUUUUUCUUGAGAGUCCUUAUCGAAAGAAAAGAUUGCGACCUCGAUGUUGAAUUAAAAUUUCUUUAUAAUGCAGAAGUUAUAAUAGAAGGUCUGUUCGACCUUUAAAUUUUUACAUGAUUUGAGUUCAGACCGGUGUAAACCAGGUUGGUUUCUAUCUCUUAAUAAAUAAUGAAUUAUUUUAGUACGAAAGGAUUGAAUAAUUGAAAUAUUUUUAUGAAUUGAAUAAGAAUAACUGUUUAUCGGUUGGUAUUAGCUUCGGGUUAAGGAUUAGUUAAGCAUAUGAUAAUAAAUUUUAAGGUUUAUGUAAGAAUCUAUAUAAAUAAAAUAAUAUAUUUGGAAAAAAAAGAAUAAAAUUAAUAAUUUUAUAUUA